GGGCACUUGGCACAGUUGGUAGCGCGCACGCUUCGCAUUCAGUUGCGUAGUGACUGAUGACUGCGUGAGGUCGUGGGUUCAACUCCCACAGUGUCCA